rnacentral:rRNA from 1 species
GACGGGACCCGCACAAGCGGUGGAUGAUGUGGUUUAAUUCGAUGCAACGCGAAAACCUUACCCACCUUUGACAUGGCAGGAAUCCCGAAGAGAUUUGGGAGUGCUCGAAAGAGAACCUGCACACAGGUGCUGCAUGGCUGUCGUCAGCUCGUGUCGUGAGAUGUUGGGUUAAGUCCCGCAACGAGCGCAACCCUUGCCAUUAGUUGCUACGAAAGGGCACUCUAAUGGGACUGCCGGUGACAAACCGGAGGAAGGUGGGGAUGACGUCAAGUCCUCAUGGCCCUUAUAGGUGGGGCUACACACGUCAUACAAUGGCCGGUACAGAGGGUAGCCAACCCGCGAGGGGGAGCCAAUCCCACAAAGCCGGUCGUAGUCCGGAUCGCAGUCUGCAACUCGACUGCGUGAAGUCGGAAUCGCUAGUAAUCGCGGAUCAGCAUGUCGCGGUGAAUACGUUCCCGGGUCUU